AAACCCGGACAAGUGGAUUCCGCGCUCCGCACGCGCCUGCUAGGCCCAGUCGGCAAUAGCCGGGCCCGGCUCGCAGGCAGGACUCCCGGCCCGGCGGCUGGACGCGGGAGCCGGCUCCGAGCGGGAGCGGAUGCGGCGCCGGGCCUGCGCGGGCUAGGAAGGAUGUUUGUUCCAAGGUCGCUCAAAGUCAAGAGACAUGCCAAUGAUGACAGCAGAGGUGGUGCAGCUAAGAAGGCCAAACUGGAAACAGAAACCCCUUCUCUGGAGAGAGGCGGAGAUGCCCCAGUGGAGGCCUUGGGUACUGAAGAAGCUGUGGCACCCGCCCAGCCCAGCAGCAAACCAUGCCCCAUGCCCAGUUCGGUUGGCCAUUCGGCCGAGGUAUGUUUGGAAGGACCACAUCUGGGGACAAAGGACAGCCACCCUGCAGAUGAGCCUGUAAAGUCGUUUUCCAAAACCCAGCGCCAGGCAGAACCUGGGGAGCCCGUGUGUGUGGUGUGUGGUCGGUACGGAGAAUACAUCUGUGAUGAGACGGACGAAGACGUGUGCAGCCUGGAGUGUAAAGCAAAACACCUACUCCAAGUGAAAGGCAUGGGGGAGCCAGGAGAGGCGAGUGGUCCCCAGCAGGCAGGCCCUGAGCUCGCCUCGGCACCCCACACCACCUAUGCCUACAGAGAGCACCCCUUCAUUGCCAGUCUCCACGAGGACCAGGUGGCGAACCUGAAACAGCAGCUGGGCAUCGUCGUCCAUGGGCAUAAGGUGCCCCGGCCCAUCAUCGAGUUCGAGCAUUGCGGUUUCCCUGAGACCUUGAAUCACAACCUGAAGCGGGCAGGCUAUGAGGUGCCAACCCCCAUCCAGAUGCAGAUGAUGCCCGUGGGCCUGCUGGGUAGAGACAUUCUGGCCAGUGCGGACACGGGCUCUGGGAAAACGGCAGCCUUCCUGCUCCCCGUGAUCAUGCGUGCUCUGUGCGAGAGCACAUCUCCUUGUGCCCUCAUUCUCACGCCAACAAGAGAGUUAGCCAUUCAGAUUGAGAAACAAGCCAAAGAACUGAUGAACGGCCUGCCUCACAUGAAGACCGUCCUGCUUGUGGGGGGCCUGCCUCUGCCCCCUCAGCUGUACCGCCUACGACAGCAUGUUAAGGUUAUCAUAGCAACUCCUGGGCGACUUCUGGAUAUAAUAAAACAGAACUCUGUAGAACUCCGUGGUAUAAAAAUUGUAGUCGUAGAUGAAGCUGAUACCAUGUUAAAGAUGGGCUUUCAGCAACAAGUGCUUGACGUUUUGGAAAGCGUUCCUGGUGACUGUCAGACCAUUUUGGUGUCAGCCACGAUUCCAGCUAGCAUCGAGCAGCUCUCAAACCAGCUGUUGCAAGACCCCGUGAGAGUCACCGCUGGAGAGAAGAGCGUGCCCUGUGCCAGCGUGCGGCAGAUUGUCCUGUGGGUGGAAGACCCUGCCAAAAAGAGGAAGCUGUUUGAAGUCUUGAACGACAGAAAGCUCUUUAAGCCCCCGGUGCUGGUGUUUGUUGACUGCAAGCUUGGAGCAGAUCUGUUGAGCGAGGCCGUGCAGAAGAUCACUGGCCUCAAGAGUGUGUCCAUGCACUCAGAGAAGUCGCAGACAGAGAGGAAGGACAUACUACAGGGGCUGCUUGAAGGUGACUAUGACGUUGUGGUGAGCACGGGCGUCCUGGGACGAGGCCUGGACCUGGUUAGCGUGAGGCUGGUCGUCAACUUCGACAUGCCCUCGAGCAUGGAUGAGUACGUGCACCAGGUUGGAAGAGUGGGAAGGUUAGGCCAACAGGGAACAGCCAUCACCUUCAUCAAUAACAAUUCAAAACGCCUCUUUUGGGACGUGGUAAAAAGAGUGAAGCCCACAGGAUCCCUUCUGCCGCCACAGCUGCUGAACUCACCUUACCUUCACGAGCAGAGGCGGAAGGAGCAGCAGCGAGAGAAGCAAACGCAGGGCGACCUGGUGACCGAGGCCAACCUCAUGGCCAUCAUCCGGAAGCACGACAGGAGUAACGCCCAGAAAUGACCAGAAGUGACCGGGAGACGGAGACCUGCUGCUUGGGGUCUCCGCAUGGACGGCAGGGACAGGGUCCCCACAGCUAGGAGCACUGCUCUGAGCAGGGAGUCUGUCCUCCACCCCAUGGGACCUCACGUUCACUGGAGCUUGAAUCACUGUGGAAUCACUGAGUGUUGUGACGACAGUAAAUGGAAAGGACUAGAAGAAACGCCAUCUGCCCGGGCUUCCUGUCUGUCAGAACAGCCCUGCACACCAUACUGGGGGAAUCACACAGCUCCUCUCCACUCCCAUGGACAUUUCCAUGGCACAAAUAGUGAACCUGCUGGUCAGCAAGAAUUGAUAUGUCAUCUGUGAGCUCGCAAACCCACAAUACAACCCAAGAACAGCAAAGCACCUGCUAAGAGGACAGUGUGUGUUUGGGAGCUGAUGUUUUGUUUUUAAGAUUUAUUAUUUUUUUUUAUUACAAAGUCAGAUAUGCAGAGAGGAGGAGAGAC